GCUGGGGCCACGUGUGGACAGCCAGGAAGACCUGACCUUCCUCUGGGAUAUGUUUGGUGAGAAAAGCCUGCAUUCACCGGUAAAGAAGUUACUCGUCGAGCACCAUUUUCCUUUAGAUCUUCACAAUAUCCUGGGUAGCCUUAUGUUGUGAGGUGGAAGUCUCUACUCUUCUGUGGCUGCUGUGGCCAAGACUUCCAAUACUGUGUUAGCAUCCUCGCCUUGUUCCUGAUGUUAAGCAGGAAGCUUUUCCCUGUUGAGCAUGAUGCUAGCUGUGCACUGGUUAUACGUGGCCUUACAUUUUGAGAUUUUAUUUAUUUAGUCGUGAGAGAGGCAGACACACAGGCAGAGGGAGAAGCAGGCUCCAAGCAGGGAGCCCAACAAGGGACUUGAUCCCAGGACCUCGACCCAGGCCACCUGCGUCUUCUUGAAUGGCAUUUUUAGUAAGCAAAGAAUGCUAGUAGUGCUAAGUUGCCAGUGGAAACUGCCCAUGGGCCACAUGAGAGACCACGGAUCCUGUAAUGCUGGGAGGCAUAAAGCUGGCACAGAAGUGCUGCAGAGAGGCUGUCACCAGUUAGAGGGAAGGAGCCAGAGAAGCAAGAGGUGUGGCAACAGCCAAGGGUGUUCAAAGGUAGAUGGACUGUGCACUCCCUUCCUGAAUGGGAGACCAGCACAGAGACCUUGGGGGCACGCCCUGCCCAGCCCUGCCCAGCCUCGCCCAGGCUCCAGCCGGAGGCUCCGCCCCAGGCCAUGGCCUUCCACUUGCUCACGUGACCAUGCCACAGGCAUGCAGAGAGGCAGGCUGAGCUCUGCCAGGCCAGCAGGGUCCGUGCCAGGCCUGGUGGACUUCGAGGACAAGGAGCAGGUGAAGGCAUUUCUGGAGAACGUGGUGGAGUGCAAGUACCAGUGCUACUGUGAGAAGGACCCGAAUGGACAGAAAGUUAUCUAAGCUCAAUAGUUCUGAGAAAUGUCUUCAUCUAGGAGCAUUCCCUCUGUUUCUUAGAAGUUUGAAUUUGGGAGAAAGGUUGACAAUCUGGGGGAAAAAAAAGACGAAGCGAAAGGAACAGCAUGCUCAGGAGGGCACACACCACGCCAGUUCCCUUGCUUCUAAUGGUUAUCACGUACCAACCCAAGUGGCUGCCGCCUUAUUAAUCAUCAUAUUCAUGAAAAGCUCUACUACUAUGAGAAGUAGAACCCUGUGCCCAUCCUCCACAGCACAGCAGUCUUGGCUGAUGAUGUAAGUGUGCCUUUCGGAGCUCCCUGCCACCCGGCUCCCUUGGGCCCGGUCCUGAGCAGAGCUCUUCCUGGCGCAGACACAAGUGUGAGAUCCUGGGAGUGAAAACCAGAAGCCGCUGCAAAUGUUUCCAAAAGUCCUGUCACCGAGGACCUUAUGCGGAUACUGUGCUGAUUUGCAUUCACUCUCCUGCUCAAAAAAUUGUGCCUGGGGAUGUCCUCUGUUCUACCUGGGUGGCUACAGUAGCAGAAGUCUGAGGCUAGAACUCUCUGGGCAGAAACUGUCAGCUACUAGUGUUCUGAGAAAGGCACAGGCAGGAGGAAUGCUUUGGAGAAAUAAAGACAAAUCAGCUAGGUCUGUUGCUGACAGUGCUAAAAACUGACAGAUACGCUAGUGUCGGAACGAGGCCUGAUGAAAUACAUAAAAAGACAGGAUUGUUUUCAAAAUGAAGUAUAAAGCAUCAUAAUAAUUUAUGGAUAUUAGACCUUUCCACAUUACCUUCAUAACCAAAGAAUAAGUGACAGAAGCAGUUAGCAUUGAUGGAGUAAUUUCCUGUAGCUAUCAUUUUAUUUUCAAUCUUGGAAUGAAUUACCUUGCUGUUCCUUGCCGUUCACUUUCAAACUCAGAUGAAUUGAAAGCACACCUGGAUAAACUGUAAAGGACACUGAGCCAGAGGAGAAAUAGGUCUCCUGUGAAGGUCUGUAUGAGCUGUUGGCUGUUCUGCCAGUCCAGCUGGGGCCACGUGUGGACAGCCAGGAAGACCUGACCUUCCUCUGGGAUAUGUUUGGUGAGAAAAGCCUGCAUUCACUGGUAAAGGUAAAAACCAUGCUGAUGUCAGAUUCUCUUGGUGGGAAAACAUGGAAAAACAUUUUGAGUGCUGUCUCAUAAACCAGAGAUCAAAUUGUUGCCUUCUGCAAGGCAGAACAAAUCAGCCUUGUUCCGUGAUGAGCAUGGAAGUUGUUAAAGAUUUUACCAAAAAUACCUAGAUGAUUUCCCUUAAUGGUGGUGAUCUGGCUGUGUGCACUAAUGAAGCCAACGUAUGCCUGCCCUUGUUUAGAAGAAGAAUAUGAAAUAAUAGCAGGAAGGUAUAGGCUCCUUAUGGACAACAUUCAUGAGCUGGAAUUUAGCUUGAGUAAUGAAUGGUCACAACAAAAAUUAGAAGGAAUAUAUUUU